AUGUAACUCUAAUGAGGCAGGUGAUC
rnacentral:piRNA from 1 species